rnacentral:rRNA from 1 species
GAUGAACGCUGGCGGCGUGCCUAAUACAUGCAAGUCGAACGGGGUGUUUGAGCAAUCGGACACUUAGUGGCGAACGGGUGAGUAACGCGUUGGUGACCUGCCCCAAAGCGGGGGAUAACAGCCUGAAAGGGUUGCUAAUACCGCAUAUGAUGAUGAGAGACUAGAAACUUAUCAUUAAAGGAGAAAUCCACUUUGGGAGGGGCCUGCGUCCCAUCAGCUAGUUGGUAGGGUAAAAGCCUACCAAGGCGAAGACGGGUAGGGGACCUGAGAGGGUGACCCCCCACAAUGGAACUGAAACACGGUCCAUACACCUACGGGUGGCAGCAGUAGGGGAUAUUGCACAAUGGGCGGAAGCCUGAUGCAGCAACGCCGCGUGAGUGAUGAAGGCCCUCGGGUCGUAAAACUCUUUCAAGAGGAAGAGGAAGGACGGUACUCUUGGAAUAAGCCUCGGCUAACUACGUG